GCUGAAACAAACAAUAAACACAUGUGAGCUGUUAAUCCACAAGGACUUUGGCAGCAGAACAGCAUUGUCAAAACUAAUGUGCAAAGACAUGAUAAUAAUUGUAUUGGAUUUUGCACGCUUAACAACCACUUUUUACACAAGCAUUUGUACAGUAGAUGGACACGUUUGGGCAGAUACUGAAAGAUCCCAGCCUACGCAAGAAGUACCGCCUGGUCUGACUCUUAAUGGAGCAGGUGGGGUGGGGGAAGGGAGUCUUCUGACGUGUAGGGAUGACACAUGAAGUUUUCCAGAGAGACAGGACUUUCCCCAGGUGUAAGCUCUGGUUAAAAAGAUGUUGGAAAGGACCCCGAACCCUGCCCGGACCUGCUGCCCCCUGCUCCUUCCACCAUACACUCACUCACUGUUCACAUGUGCACAUUAUUGCAAUUGUUUCUAUUUCAUUAACAGUAUUAUAAUAAUUUGUAGAUACCUGAAAGGGUUGGGGUACCUCUGCCAGAAAGCAGAGACCACUUGAUCCCAUGUACUGCGGAUGUCUGUGUAGCUACAGAAAUAUUUGACCAUCUUUCUGAUGCUGAUGAACCAGAUGAAUCUGAACACCUCCUGCUUCUGGAGGAACUACAGAAGAAGGUCCGUGUGCUGACUCCAUCCACAGUCCUCUGCAGCUUUGCUCUGCUCUAUACAUACACAGACCCAAGAGAGACAGGUUAGUUUCGAUGUGUUUAGAGAAGAACUUAAUAUGUAACUUCCUCUUAUUAUAGCUUUAGUUUGCAUAUUCUCAAUACCCCCCAAAAAUAUCAAACGUAUCAAAUGUUACUUUUAUCACCGUGAAAUGUCUUAUAAUAAGAUCAUCGUUAUAAUUACGCUAGUGCCCUAAUCUUUUAAGCCAUUUUAUCUUUAUUAGUGAUUAACAGUGCUAAAAUGCUAGGUCAUAGGCUAUUGCUGUAGCUACAAACUAGCCUGGACCACAAACCUGUCAUAAACACAAUUGAAAAACAACUCAAACACUACUUGAGUGAGAAGAAACAUAGAAAAUUACCCGAAUCGGAACAAAGUCGUAGCCUCAUGUCACAAAUGUGCCCUUGACAUUUCUAUUGCGGGUGAAAAGUUAAUCGUCGGUGUAAAAUUGUAUUAACUUUAUCUUUGAAAACACGUGACAGACGGACGGAACCGACAGAACCACGGACCGCGUCAAGAGAGCACUUCCGCUUUCGAUUUCACAAUAAAAGCCCAAGGAGAAUAAUAUCUAGAAUUCACUGAUUUUGUGAGCAAAUAGUAAACCAAAUCAUUCAAAACGAAAAUCCAACAAUAUUUUACAACCAUUAAAACAUUAACUAAUAAAAAAAA